CCGCAAGGUUAAAACUCAAAUGAAUUGACGGGGGCCCGCACAAGCGGUGGAGCAUGUGGUUUAAUUCGAUGCAACGCGAAGAACCUUACCUACUCUUGACAUCCAGAGAACUUAGCGGAGAUGCUUUGGUGCCUUCGGGAACUCUGAGACAGGUGCUGCAUGGCUGUCGUCAGCUCGUGUUGUGAAAUGUUGGGUUAAGUCCCGCAACGAGCGCAACCCUUAUCCUUUGUUGCCAGCGGUUCGGCCGGGAACUCAAAGGAGACUGCCAGUGAUAAACUGGAGGAAGGUGGGGAUGACGUCAAGUCAUCAUGGCCCUUACGAGUAGGGCUACACACGUGCUACAAUGGCAUAUACAAAGAGAAGCGACCUCGCGAGAGCAAGCGGACCUCAUAAAGUAUGUCGUAGUCCGGAUUGGAGUCUGCAACUCGACUCCAUGAAGUCGGAAUCGCCAGUAAUCGUAGAUCAGAAUGCUACGGUGAAUACGUUCCCGGGCCUUGUAA
rnacentral:rRNA from 1 species